GGCCGCCUGAGGCCUCAUGUGCCAUACAAGGGUGACACUUAAAUCAGUCUGUGACAGACAAACCAGGGGCCACUCCCAGCUGCCACUAGGUUAGCUGGGGUGGGGCAUGGGGACAGUUACUGCCACAUGCCAGCUGUACAGGCCCUUGUACAGUUCUUUACAUGUUUAAGCAUACGUGCUUUUACUACUUUAUUUAGGUGGUAAAAUU